UGAUAAGCUGCGAAAAGCAACGGGGAGGCGCAAAUAGCUGUUAAUCCGUUGAUAUCCGAAUGGGGCAACCCGGCACGUUGAAGGCGUGUCAUAUUACCAAUAGGUAAUAAGCGAACGUGGGGAACUGAAACAUCUUAGUACCCAUAGGAGGAUAAAACAAAAGUGAUUCCGCAAGUAGUGGCGAGCGAACGCGGAAGAGCCCAAACCAUAGUUGUUACGGCAACUAUGGGGUUGUAGGACUUGCGAUAUGUACUUACAAAGAUAGCCGAAGUUGACUGGAAAGCAACGACGCAGAGGGUGAAAUUCCCGUAGGCGAAAUUGGCGUAAGGCUAGCGAUAAUCCUGAGUAAGGCGGGACCGGAGGAAUCCUGUCUGAAUCUGGCAGCACCAUCUGCCAAGGCUAAAUACUCCUGAGAGACCGAUAGUGAACCAGUACCGACUCCUGAGAGACCGAUAGUGAACCAGUACCGUGAGGGAAAGGUGAAAAGCACCCCGAACAGGGGAGUGAAAGCUGAAACCGUGCGCUUACAAGCGGUCGGAGUCCAUAUGGAUGACGGCGUGCCUUUUGCAUAAUGAGCCUACGAGUUACUCUUCUCUGGCAAGAUUAAGGGCUAGGAGGUCUGUAAUCGAAGCGAAAGCGAGUCUGAACAGGGCGGCUAGUCAGAGGAGGUAGACGCGAAACUUAGUGAUCUACCCUUGAGCAGGUUGAAGUAGUGGUAACACACUAUGGAGGACCGAACCAGUUGACGUUGAAGAGAUAGCUCGUACUCCCCGAAAUGUAUUUAGGUACAGCCUUUGUUAUAUGUUAUAGAGGUAGAGCUACUGAUAGGGCUAGGGGGCUUCACCGCCUACCAACCCCUGACAAACUCCGAAUGCUAUAACAGAUAAGACAAGGAGUGAGGCUAUGGGUGCUAAGGUCCAUAGCCGAGAGGGAAAGAACCCGGACCAACAGCUAAGGUCCCCAAAUGUAUGUUAAGUUGUACUAACGCGGUUUUAUUGCAUAGACAGCUAGGAUGUUGGCUUGGAAGCAGCCAUUCAUUUAAAGAGUGCGUAACAGCUCACUAGUCGAGCGAUAGAGCAUGGAUGAUAAUCGGGCAUAAACAUACUACCGAAGCUUUGGGAUGUUGUCGUAUGACAACGUCGGUAGGGGAGCAUUCUAUAUGAGUUGAAGCAGUGUCGGCGAGGCAUUGUGGAUUAUAUAGAAAAGCAAAUGUAGGCAUAAGUAACGAUAAUGCGGGCGAGAAACCCGCACACCGAAAGACUAAGGUUUCCUGAUCAACGCUAAUCGGAUCAGGGUUAGUCGGGGCCUAAGGCGUAUCCGCGAGGAGAAGUUGAUGGACAAUCGGUUAAUAUUCCGAUACUAUCUAUUACUGCGAAGGGGUGACGGAGUCAUGUAAGGUUCGCGUACUGACGGCUUAGUACGUUGAAGGAGUACUCAAAGUUUACGAACGGCGAGAUAGUAACUGUAAAUAUACUUCCAAGAAAACCCUCUAAGCUAUAGGUAAUAGAUACCCGUACCGUAAACCGACACAGGUAGUCGAGGAGAGUAUCCACAGGUGCUCGAGAGAUUCAUGGCCAAGGAACUAGGCAAAUUUACCCGCAGAGAAAUGGCCCAGGCGACUGUUUAACAAAAACACAUGACUUUGCAAAAUCGAGAGAUGAGGUAUAAGGUCUGACACCUGCCCGGUGCCGGAAGGUUAAGUGGAGUUGUCAUCCCGGAUUUAUUUGGGAGAAGCAAUGAAAUGAAGCCCCGGUAAACGGCGGCCGUAACUAUAACGGUCCUAAGGUAGCGAAAUUCCUUGUCGGGUAAGUUCCGACCUGCACGAAUGGUGUAACGCUUAACAUUGACUUUGGAUACAUGAUGUGUAGGAUAGCCGGGAGACUGUGAGAUGGUGCCGCCAGGUAUCAUGGAGUCAUCCUUGAAAUACCGGCCUUUAUUUAUUUGAAGCCUAAUCUUGGAAGAGAGACCAUGUUAGGUGGGUAGUUUGACUGGGGUGGUCGCCUCCAAAAGUGUAACGGAGGCUUUCAAAGGUACCCUCAGCAUGAUUGGUAACCAUGCGUAGCGUGUAAUAGCACAAGGGUGCUUGACUGUGAGACCCACAAGUCGACCA
rnacentral:rRNA from 1 species